rnacentral:rRNA from 2 species
AGUUGAAUUUCGGGGUUAAUAGGUUGGUCAUGCCUCCGGCAUGUACUGAUCUCACUGAUUCCUCCUUCCUUAUGAACCGUAAUGCCAUUAAUUUGGUGUUGCGGGGAAUUUGGACUGUUACUUUGAAAAAAUUAGAGUGUUCAAAGCAGGCAUAUGCUCGAAUACAUUAGCAUGGAAUAAUAGAAUAGGACGUGUGGUUCUAUUUUGUUGGUUUCUAGGACCGCCGUAAUGAUUAAUAGGGAUAGUCGGGGGCAUCAGUAUUCAAUUGUCAGAGGUGAAAUUCUUGGAUUUGCCGAAGACUAACUACUGCGAAAGCAUUCGCCAAGGAUGUUUUCAUUAAUCAGGGAACGAAAGUUAGGGGAUCGAAGACGAUCAGAUACCGUCGUAGUCUUAACCAUAAACUAUGCCGACUAGGGAUCGGACGGUGUUUCUAUUAUGACCCGUUCGGCGCCUUACGGGAAC